UGAGAAUCUGCCUUGGGGUCGGGGACAACCACUGGAAACGGUGGCUAAUACCGGAUAAGCCUUUGGGUAAAAGAUUUAUUGCCCCAAGAGGAGCUCGCGUCUGAUUAGCUAGUUGGUGAGGUAAAAGCUCACCAAGGCAGCGAUCAGUAGCUGGUCUGAGAGGACGAUCAGCCACACUGGGACUGAGACACGGCCCAGACUCCUACGGGAGGCAGCAGUGGGGAAUUUUCCGCAAUGGGCGAAAGCCUGACGGAGCAAGACCGCGUGAGGGAGGAAGGCUCUUGGGUUGUAAACCUCUUUUCUCAGGGAAGAAGCUCUGACGGUACCUGAGGAAUCAGCCUCGGCUAACUCCGUGCCAGCAGCCGCGGUAAUACGGAGGAGGCAAGCGUUAUCCGGAAUUAUUGGGCGUAAAGCGUCCGCAGGUGGCGAUUCAAGUCUGCUGUCAAAGCACGGGGCUUAACUCCGUUAAGGCAGUGGAAACUGAAUAGCUAGAGUGCCGUAGGGGUAGAGGGAAUUCCCGGUGUAGCGGUGAAAUGCGUAGAGAUCGGGAAGAACAUCGGUGGCGAAAGCGCUCUACUGGACGGCAACUGACACUCAGGGACGAAAGCUAGGGGAGCGAAUGGGAUUAGAUACCCCAGUAGUCCUAGCUGUAAACGAUGGAUACUAGGUGUAGCUUGUAUCGACCCGAGCUGUGCCGAAGCUAACGCGUUAAGUAUCCCGCCUGGGGAGUACGCACGCAAGUGUGAAACUCAAAGGAAUUGACGGGGGUCCGCACAAGCGGUGGAGUAUGUGGUUUAAUUCGAUGCAACGCGAAGAUCCUUACCAGGGCUUGACAUGUCCGGAAUCCCGGUGAAAGCUGGGAGUGCCUUCGGGAGCCGGAACACAGGUGGUGCAUGGCUGUCGUCAGCUGUUGUCGUGAGAUGUUGGGUUAAGUCCCGCAACGAGCGCAACCCUCGUCUUUAGUUGCCAGCAUUAAGUUGGGCACUCUAGAGAGACCGCCGGUGACAAACCGGAGGAAGGUGGGGAUGACGUCAAGUCAGCAUGCUCCUUACGCUCUGGGCGACACACGUACUACAAUGGUCGGGACAGAGGGCAGCGAACCUGCGAAGUCAAGCUAAUCCCAGCAAACUCGGCCUCAGUUCAGAU
rnacentral:rRNA from 1 species